GACAGAGGGUGCAAACGUUGCUCGGAAUUACUGGGCGUAAAGAGCGUGUAGGCGGCCAGGUAGGUCGGUUGUGAAAACUGGAGGCUCAACCUUCAGAGGUCGACCGAAACCAUCUGGCUAGAGUCCGGGAGAGGAGAGUGGAAUUCCUGGUGUAGCGGUGAAAUGCGCAGAUAUCAGGAAGAACACCCGUGGCGAAAGCGGCUCUCUGGAACGGUACUGACGCUGAGACGCGAAAGCGUGGGGAGCGAACAGG
rnacentral:rRNA from 1 species